UCUUUGCUAGUAUAUCGGUUUAGUACACGCGCCUGUCAUGUCCAUCUUCCAUCUAGUGGCCGCGCGAAAGCUGGGUUCGACUCCCAGGUAGAGAG